rnacentral:ncRNA from 1 species
AAAGGUUUGGUCCUGACUUUUUUGUCAUCUCUAGCUAGAUUUACACAUGCAAGUAUCUGCCCCCCCGUGAGAAUGCCCUGACAGUUCCCCUCCCGGGAACAAGGAGCUGGUAUCAGGCACUUUCUACUAAACCGCCCACGACACCUUGCUCAGCCACACCCCCAAGGGAAUUCAGCAGUGAUAAACAUUAAGCCAUAAGUGAAAACUUGACUUAGUCACAGCUACUAGGGCCGGUAAAACUCGUGCCAGCCACCGCGGUUAUACGAGAGACCCAAGAUGACAGACGCCGGCGUAAAGAGUGGUUAAGUCAACCCCAAUAAAACUAAAGCCGAACGCCCCCAAAACUGUUAUAAGUUUUCGAAGGUAUGAAGUUCAACUACGAAAGUGACUUUAAACAAAUCUGACCCCACGAAAGCUGUGGAACAAACUGGGAUUAGAUACCCCACUAUGCUCAGCCCUAAACUUUGAUAGUUUGACUACUCUCACUAUCCGCCUGGGAACUACAAGCUCCGGCUUUAAACCCAAAGGACUUGGCGGUGCUUAAGAUCCACCUAGAGGAGCCUGUUCUAGAACCGAUAACCCCCGUUCAACCUUACCCUCUCUUGUUCUUACCGCCUAUAUACCGCCGUCGUCAGCUUACCCUGUGAAGGUUUAGCAGUAAGCAAGAUUAGUAGGACUCAAAACGCCAGGUCGAGGUGUAGCGUAUGAGAGGGAAAGAAAUGGGCUACAUUUCCUAAUGUAGGAAAUACGAAUGAUGGACUGAAAUAAACAUUUUGAAGGAGGAUUUAGCAGUAAAUGAAAAACAGAGCGCUUCAUUGAAACUGGCCCUAAAGCACGCACACACCGCCCGUCACUCUCCCCAAGUAUAAGCACUAUCUAUACCUAAUUACUUUAAUUAACAAGAGGGGAGGCAAGUCGUAACAUGGUAAGUGUACCGGAAGGUGCACUUGGU